UACGGGGGGUGCGAGCGUUGUCCGGAAUCACUGGGCGUAAAGGGCGCGUAGGCGGUCUUAUAAGGGGGUGGUGAAAGCCCCGGGCUCAACCUGGGAAUUGCAUUCGAGACUGAAUAGCUAGGGUACGGUAGAGGGAAGUGGAAUUUCCGGUGUAGCGGUGAAAUGCGUAGAUAUCGGAAGGAACAUCAGUGGCGAAAGCGACUUCCUGGACCAGUACCGACGUUCAGGCACGAAAGCGUGGGGAGCAAACAGG
rnacentral:rRNA from 1 species